UACAGGGGGUGCAAACGUUGCUCGGAAUCACUGGGCGUAAAGCGCACGUAGGCGGCUUUUUAAGUCAGGGGUGAAAUCCUGGAGCUCAACUCCAGAACUGCCUUUGAUACUGAGAAGCUUGAGUCCGGGAGAGGUGAGUGGAACUGCGAGUGUAGAGGUGAAAUUCGUAGAUAUUCGCAAGAACACCAGUGGCGAAGGCGGCUCACUGGCCCGGUACUGACGCUGAGGUGCGAAAGCGUGGGGAGCAAACAGG
rnacentral:rRNA from 1 species